rnacentral:rRNA from 1 species
CCUGGUUGAUCCUGCUAGUAGUCAUUUGCUUGUCUCAAAGUUUAAGCCAUGCAUGUGUAAGUAUGAACCAAUUCAGAUUGUGAAACUAUGAAUGGCUUAUUAAAUCAGUUAUAGUUUUUUUGACAGUAUCUAUUACUCAGAUAACCGUAGUAAUUCUAGAGCUAAUACAUGCAACAAAUCCUAACUUCCAAAAGGGAUGCGUUUAUUAGAUAAAAGGUUAAUGCGUGCUUGUCCCAUUGCUCUAAUGAUUGAUGAUAACUCGAUGGAUGGCAUGGCCUUCGUGCCGACGACCCAUCAUUCAAACUUCUGCCUUAUCAACUUUCAAUGGUAGGAUGGUGGCCUACUAUGGUGGUGAUGGGUGACAAAGACUUAGGGUUCGAUUCUGGAAAUGGAGCUUGAGAAACGAGUACCAUAUCCAAGGAAGGCAGCACGCAUGCAAAUUACCCAAUCCUGACAUAGGCAGGUAGUGACAAUAAAUAAAAAUACUGAGCUCAUUGAGUAUGGUAAUUGUACUGAGUAUAAAUGUAAAUCCCUUAAUGAGGAUCCACUAGAGGAUAAGUCUGGUGCCAGCAGCCACGGCUCCAAUAGCAUUUAUUUAAGUUGUUGUAGUUAAAAAGCUCGCGAUUGAAUUUUUGAAUGGGUUGAUCAGUCUGCCCUUGGGUGUGCACCGAUCAUCUCAUCUCUUCUACCAGUGAUGCGCUCCUAGCCUUAAUUUGCCAGGUCAUGCCUCCGAUGCUGUUAUUUUGAAGAAAUUAAGUGCUCAAAGCAAGCCUACGCUUUAGAUACAUUAGCAUGGGAUAACAUCAUAGGAUUUUGAUCCUAUUACGUUGGCCUUCAGGAUCAGAGUAAAGAUUAAUAGGGACAGUCAGGGGCAUUCGUAUUUCAUAGUCAGAGGUGAAAUUCUUGAAUUUAUGAAAGAUGGAUAGCUACGAAAGCAUUUGCCAAGGAUGUUUUCACUAAUUCAGAGCAAAAACUUAGGGGCUCGAAGACGAUCAGAUACCAAGUUAGUCUCAACCAUAAACGAUGCCGACCAAGGGUCAACAGAUGUUUCUUUUAGGACUCCACUGGCACCUUAUAAGAAAUCAAUGUUUUUGGGUUCUGAGGGGAGUAUGGUCGCAAGGCUAAAACUCAAAGGAAUUGAUGGAAGGGCACCACCAAGAGUGGAUCCUGCGGCCUAAUUUGACUCAACACAGGGAAAUUUACCAAGUCUAAACAUAGUAAGGAUUGACAGACUAAGAUAGUAAGGAUUGAUAGACUGAGAGCUCUUUCUUUAUUUUUUUAUUUUUUUAUCAAUAAAUAAAGUAUUCAUUGAUCAAAAGUAUUUACAUGACUCAGGGCAUACCUAUGAGCUUUAAAGAAAAGGCAACAUUAAAGCUGUUACAAAUGUAGAAAAAUACUCACUAAGGAGCAAAUAAAAGAUUCAAAGCCAACUAUUAAAACAGAAACUUAAAACCCAAAGUGAUCUGGAUAGAGGUAGCUUAGUACACGAAAUACUUGGAUUUGAAUCUUUCUAAUUGUAGCUA